UGGGGAAUUUUGGACAAUGGGCGAAAGCCUGAUCCAGCAAUGCCGCGUGUGUGAAGAAGGCCUUCGGGUUGUAAAGCACUUUUGUCCGGAAAGAAAUCCUUGGCUCUAAUACAGUCGGGGGAUGACGGUACCGGAAGAAUAAGCACCGGCUAACUACGUGCCAGCAGCCGCGGUAAUACGUAGGGUGCAAGCGUUAAUCGGAAUUACUGGGCGUAAAGCGUGCGCAGGCGGUUUGCUAAGACCGAUGUGAAAUCCCCGGGCUCAACCUGGGAACUGCAUUGGUGACUGGCAGGCUAGAGUAUGGCAGAGGGGGGUAGAAUUCCACGUGUAGCAGUGAAAUGCGUAGAGAUGUGGAGGAAUACCGAUGGCGAAGGCAGCCCCCUGGGCCAAUACUGACGCUCAUGCACGAAAGCGUGGGGAGCAAACAGGAUUAGAUACCCCUGGUAGUCCCACGCCCUAAACGAUGUCAACUAGUUGUUGGGGAUUCAUUUCCUUAGUAACGUAGCUAACGCGUGAAGUUGACCGCCUGGGGAGUACGGUCGCAAGAUUAAAACUCAAAUGAAUUGACGGGGU
rnacentral:rRNA from 1 species